rnacentral:rRNA from 1 species
ACUGCUGAUCGAUUGUUGAGGGUUCUGGACUUGCGCCGAUAAUCAGGCAACAGAGCGCCGGAUGCCGAGAAGUUGGUCAAAAUUGAUCAUUUAGAGGAAGUAAAAGUCGUAACAAGGUUUCCGUAGGUGAACCUGCGGAAGGAUCAUUACCGAUACGUGUCCAAGGUUAACUUUAAUGUUACCUACCGUGUGAAUGGUACUCAACCUUUUAGGGGUCGGCCUGAUGUGCCGUUAAAUGGUCGUCCGUCGUUGACUCGGCGCUCGGUCAGCCCCGCCUUUGUAUUCUUUAUAUCAAACUUUGUUCAGUCUGAAAACAAUUGUGCUACUCUUAAAAAGGUAGUAACAAAUGAGAAAAAAAGAGAGACAACUUUUAACGGUGGAUCUCUUGGCUCACGCAUCGAUGAAGAACGCAGCCAGCUGCGAUAAGUAGUGUGAAUUGCAGAAUUCAGUGAAUCAUCGAAUCUUUGAACGCAAAUGGCGCUCUUGGGUUCUCCCAGGAGCAUGUCUGUCUGAGUGUCGGAUACCAUCUAACGCACAUGUGUGUGCGGCGUUGAGGCGUCACGGCCUUUCUUCCAAAGAGUUGGUGGCCGUGUCCCUUGAAGGGAAGGCAAUACUCGCAUCGUGCGCGACCAGCACUCCCAUGCGAAGGCCAAAAAUUCUUUCCUUGGCAUGGCCGCUGUUGGCGCCACCUUACGACGACAAAUCAGAUUCAUAUCUUGACCUCAGAUCAGGCAAGGCUACCCGCUGAAUUUAAGCAUAUUAAUAAGCGGAGGAAAGAAACUAACAAGGAUUCCCCCAGUAACGGCGAGUGAAGCGGAAUAGCUCAAAUUUGAAAUCUCCGACGCUUGCGUCGCGAGUUGUAGUUGCCAGAGCACUUUCUAGCCGAUCGACCGUUGCCUAAAUUGCUUGGAACAGCACGUCCGCAGAAGGGUGACAACUCCGUC